rnacentral:rRNA from 1 species
AAGGUUUCCGUAGGUGAACCCUGCAAAGCAGAACGACCCGUGAACACGUAAUAAUAACCGAGCGCCGAGUGGGUUAAGCGCUUUGUUUGAUCCUCUCGGUGCUUUGUCGAUGUGCAUUUACUCGAGUCCUUUUGGGCCUUGUGAGUGUGUCAUUGGCGCAAUAACAACCCCCGGCACAAUGCGUGCCAAGGAAAACUAAACUUAAGAAGGCUUGUUUCAUGUUUGCCCCGUUCGCGGUGUGCUCAUGGGAUGUGGCUUCUUUAUAAUCACAAACGACUCUCGGCAACGGAUAUCUCGGCUCACGCAUCGAUGAAGAACGUAGCAAAAUGCGAUACUUGGUGUGAAUUGCAGAAUCCCGUGAACCAUCGAGUUUUUGAACGCAAGUUGCGCCCGAAGCCUUUUGGCCGAGGGCACGUCUGCCUGGGCGUCACGCAUCGCUUCGCCCCCCGCAAAUCUAUGUUGGGGGCGGAUAUUGGUCUCCCGUGCUCAUGGCGUGGUUGGCCAAAAUAGGAGUCCCUUCGAUGGACGCACAAACUAGUGGUGGUCGUAAAAACCCUCGUUCUUUGUUUUGUGUCGUUCGUCGCAAUGGAACACUCUAUAAAAACCCCAAUGUGUUGUCUUAGGAUGACGCUUCGACCGCGACCCCAGGUCAGGCGGGACUACCCGCUGAGUUUAAGCAUA